GAUGCUGCCGUGCGGUACUCGUCAUGGAGCUGGCACUGCGGCGCUCUCCCGUCCCGCGGUGGUUGCUGCUGUUGCCGCUGCUGCUGGGCCUGAGCGCAGGAGCUGUCAUUGACUGGCCCACAGAGGAAGGCAAGGAAGUAUGGGAUUAUGUGACCGUCCGCAAGGAUGCCUACAUGUUCUGGUGGCUCUAUUAUGCCACCAACUCCUGCAAGAACUUCUCAGAACUGCCCCUGGUCAUGUGGCUUCAGGGUGGUCCAGGCGGUUCCAGCACUGGAUUUGGAAACUUUGAGGAAAUUGGGCCCCUUGACAGUGAUCUCAAACCACGGAAAACCACCUGGUGUACAGAGAAGCCAGGCCAAUGUGGAAAUUGGAUGCAUUUCCAAGAAAACUGAUGUGUCCAGACUUUGAGUGUCCUCUGGCUUCUUCGACUCCAGGCUGCCAGUCUCCUAUUUGUGGAUAAUCCCGUGGGCACUGGGUUCAGUUAUGUGAAUGGUAGUGGUGCCUAUGCCAAGGACCUGGCUAUGGUGGCUUCAGACAUGAUGGUUCUCCUGAAGACCUUCUUCAGUUGCCACAAAGAAU
rnacentral:sRNA from 1 species